rnacentral:rRNA from 1 species
UAACCUGCCCAAGAGAUCGGGAUAACACCUGGAAACAGAUGCUAAUACCGGAUAACAACAGAUGAUGCCUAUCAACUGUUUAAAAGAUGGUUCUGCUAUCACUCUUGGAUGGACCUGCGGUGCAUUAGCUAGUUGGUAGGGUAACGGCCUACCAAGGCGAUGAUGCAUAGCCGAGUUGAGAGACUGAUCGGCCACAUUGGGACUGAGACACGGCCCAAACUCCUAGGGAGGCAGCAGGA